rnacentral:piRNA from 1 species
UAUGAAGGGACUGUCAUGUCAGCUCAAC